AAUCACACCUUUCUCCAGGUUAAUGAGACACUCUUCUGAGAAUCUCCUGAUGCUUGAAAGCAUUGCUGUCAAGGGAGUCAUCUUUGCCAUUUUGCAGGAGAGAGAAGAAAUAAGAUCUAAAGAUUUAAGAAGUCACUUGACCAAAAGGAAUUGCUUAAAUGCCAGUGUUCAUAAUCAGCAUCCCCCAUGAAGUGGCGCUGAAAGAUCACGUUAGCACAGUUCCAUGAUGUGAAAUACCACAAGUCUGCAAUUUUUUUGGUCUUGAGUGUCGCUGGGCUGAGAGGAUGGAAAUCUUUCAGUAAUUAUACCAGUUUGUAUUCGUCUCACAUUUGGGACCAAAUACAAAUCCGAUCCACUCUUUCUCCCUGUGAAUAUUCAUAAAAAACAAAGUGCCAAUUCUGGUCUAAUCAUGUAUGGAACCAAAUAUGUUGAUGAGUCCUAAGUAUAUACUGUAUGUAUGUAUACAUAUGAAUAUAUAUAUUUGUACACACUAA